UACGUAGGGUGCAAGCGUUGUCCGGAAUUAUUGGGCGUAAAGAGCUCGUAGGCGGUCUGUCGCGUCGGCUGUGAAAACCCGAGGCUCAACCUCGGGCCUGCAGUCGAUACGGGCAAACUAGAGUACUGCAGGGGAGACUGGAAUUCUCGGUGUAGCGGUGAAAAUGCGUAGAUAUCGAGAGGAACACCUGCGGCGAAGGCGGGU
rnacentral:rRNA from 1 species